GUCCACGCCGUAAACGAUGGGUGCUAGGUGUGGGAGGUGUCGACUCCUUCCGUGCCGUAGCUAACGCAUUAAGCACCCCGCCUGGGGAGUACGGCCGCAAGGCUAAAACUCAAAGGAAUUGACGGGGCCCCGCACAAGCAGCGGAGCAUGUGGUUUAAUUCGAUGCAACGCGAAGAACCUUACCAGGGCUUGACAUGCACUGGAAAACCGUAGAAAUACGGUCCUCCUUCGGGACCAGUGCACAGGUGGUGCAUGGCUGUCGU
rnacentral:rRNA from 1 species